rnacentral:rRNA from 1 species
GCAUAUCAAUAAGCGGAGGAAAAGAAACCAACAGGGAUUGCCCUAGUAACGGCGAGUGAAGCGGCAACAGCUCAAAUUUGAAAUCUGGSGCMMKCCSGRGUUGUAAUUUGUAKAGGAUGUUUCKGGCKACGUGCCUUCCGASUUCCCUGGAMCGGGACGCCAUAGAGGGUGAGASCCCCRUACSGUUGGAUGCCUARCCUCUGUGAAACUCCUUCGACSAGUCGAGUAGUUUGGGAAUGCUGCUCUAAAUGGGAGGUAUACSUCUUCUAAAGCUAAAUACCGGCCAGAGACCGAUAGCGCACAAGUMGAGUGAUCGAAAGAUGAAAAGCACUUUGAAAAGAGGGUUAAAAAGUACGUGAAAUUGUUGAAAGGGAAGCGUUCAUGMCCAGACUUGGGCAGGUUGAUCAUCCGKGGUUCUCCGCGGUGCWCUCUGCCUGCCCAGGCCAGCAUCVGUUCGCCCCGGGGGAUAAAGGCUUURGGAAUGUGGSUCCCUCGGGAGUGUUAUAGCCCACUGUGUAAUMCCCUGGGGYGGACKGAGGUUCGCGCUCUGCAAGGAUGCUGGCGUAMUGGUCAUCARCKACYCGUCUUGAAACACGGACCAAGGAGUCGUCUUCGUAUGCGAGUGUUCGGGUGUCAAACCCCUACGCGUAAUGAAAGUGAACGUAGGAGAGAGCUUCGGCGCRUCUCCGACCGAUCCUGAWGUUCUCGGAUGGAUUUGAGUAAGAGCAUACGGGGCCGGACCCGAAAGAAGGUGAACUAUGCCUGUAUAGGGUGAAGCCAGAGGAAACUCUGGUGGAGGCUCGCAGCGGUUCUGACGUGCAAAUCGAUCGUCAAAUAUGGGCAUGGGGGCGAAAGA